rnacentral:pre_miRNA from 1 species
AUGUAGGGCAAUCUGUAUUUAAAUCGGGGGUAAAUUAUGUUAAAAGAAAUGAAUCCUGGAUAGUUUUCCCUUCAAGUCAAGCAUCUUGG